rnacentral:rRNA from 1 species
UACGUAGGGUGCGAGCGUUAAUCGGAAUUACUGGGCGUAAAGCGUGCGCAGGCGGCUUUGCAAGACAGAUGUGAAAUCCCUGGGCUCAACCUGGGAACUGCAUUUGUGACUGCAAGGCUAGAGUACGACAGAGGGGGAUGGAAUUCCGCGUGUAGCAGUGAAAUGCGUAGAUAUGCGGAGGAACACCAAUGGCGAAGGCAAUCCCCUGGGCCUGUACUGACGCUCAUGCACGAAAGCGUGGGGAGCAAACAGG